rnacentral:rRNA from 1 species
AGUGAACGCUGGCGGUAGGCCUAACACAUGCAAGUCGAACGGCAGCACAGGAGAGCUUGCUCUCUAGGUGGCGAGUGGCGGACGGGUGAGGAAUACAUCGGAAUCUGCCCAGUCGUGGGGGAUAACGUAGGGAAACUUACGCUAAUACCGCAUACGACCUUCGGGUGAAAGAGGGGGAUCGCAAGACCUCUCGCGAUUGGAUGAGCCGAUGUCGGAUUAGCUAGUUAGCGGGGUAAUGGCCCACCAAGGCGACGAUCCGUAGCUGGUCUGAGAGGAUGAUCGGCCACACUGGAACUGAGACACGGUCCAGACUCCUACGGGAGGCAGCAGUGGGGAAUAUUGGACAAUGGGCGCAAGCCUGAUCCAGCCAUACCGCGUGGGUGAAGAAGGCCUUCGGGUUGUAAAGCCCUUUUGUUGGGAAAGAAAUCUUUCAGGCUAAUACCCUGGGAGGAUGACGGUACCCAAAGAAUAAGCACCGGCUAACUUCGUG